rnacentral:rRNA from 1 species
GCUCAGGAUGAACGCUAGCGGCAGGCUUAACACAUGCAAGUCGAGGGGUAUAGUUCUUCGGAACUAGAGACCGGCGCACGGGUGCGUAACGCGUAUGCAAUCUACCUUUUACAGAGGGAUAGCCCAGAGAAAUUUGGAUUAAUACCUCAUAGUAUAUAGCCCUGGCAUCAGGAUUAUAUUAAAGUCACAACGGUAAAAGAUGAGCAUGCGUCCCAUUAGCUAGUUGGUAAGGUAACGGCUUACCAAGGCUACGAUGGGUAGGGGUCCUGAGAGGGAGAUCCCCCACACUGGUACUGAGACACGGACCAGACUCCUACGGGAGGCAGCAGUGAGGAAUAUUGGACAAUGGGCGCAAGCCUGAUCCAGCCAUGCCGCGUGCAGGAUGACGGUCCUAUGGAUUGUAAACUGCUUUUAUACGAGAAGAAACACUCCGACGUGUCGGAGCUUGACGGUAUCGUAAGAAUAAGGAUCGGCUAACUCCGUGCCAGCAGCCGCGGUAAUACGGAGGAUCCAAGCGUUAUCCGGAAUCAUUGGGUUUAAAGGGUCCGUAGGCGGUUUAAUAAGUCAGUGGUGAAAGCCCAUCGCUCAACGGUGGAACGGCCAUUGAUACUGUUAGACUUGAAUUAUUAGGAAGUAACUAGAAUAUGUAGUGUAGCGGUGAAAUGCUUAGAGAUUACAUGGAAUACC